rnacentral:lncRNA from 1 species
UCCAAAAACAACUCAAAGAAAUUUUACCAAAACUCAGAAGAUUAGCAUGAGAGAUGCCCUACAGAGAACUACUCCAUCUGCUUUAACAAGGUCUUGAAACAAGUGUGCUCCAACAUGGGCAUUUCAUACAAGGCAACAUGUUUUGAGAACUAUUUUAUCAAGGAUAUCGUCAAGCACACAGUAGGACAAGACUCUCUCUAGGCCCAUUGUAACAGAUACUGCACUAUCGCCUCCAGAGAGAGCUAAUGAUCUGUGCACCUGCUCCUACCCAGGGAAUUGAUUAGGCAUGCUAUAUCUGAGGACAUCAAGGCCAUUAUUAACUACACCAAUUCU